GCCUGGCUAGCUCAAUCGGUAGAGCGUCAGACUCUUACAGAACGUCUUCAUGGCAUCUGAAGGUUGUGGGUUCGACCCCCACGUUAGGCU